UACAGAGGUCCCAAGCGUUGUUCGGAUUCAUUGGGCGUAAAGGGUGCGUAGGCGGCGCGGUAAGUCGGGUGUGAAAUCUCGGAGCUUAACUCCGAAACUGCAUUCGAUACUGCCGUGCUUGAGGACUGGAGAGGAGACUGGAAUUUACGGUGUAGCGGUGAAAUGCGUAGAUAUCGUAAGGAAGACCAGGGGCGAAGGCGGGUCUCUGGACAGUUCCUGACGCUGAGGCACGAAGGCCAGGGGAGCAAACGGG
rnacentral:rRNA from 1 species